AUGGAGUACCAACCACUGAUCUCGACGCUUGAUGUCCGCACCGAGCCCGUCACGGUGGACCUCCUCUUCUCCCUCGUGUCCAACUUCGACCAGCGGGUCAAACUCUACCAUGGUAAUGGUUCUAGAGGCUUCAAAUCUUCAGCAAAUUCUGCGUCUCGCGGCAGGCAGGGAGGACGAGGUGGUGGCUACCGCAACCAGAAGAAUGGUGGCGGCGGAUCCCAUGGUGGUUCUCACAGCGGCGGCGGCCAUGCUGGCGGCGGCGGCUAUCAGGGAGGAGGUGGUGGCGGCGGCUACCACCCCAAUGGAGGCUCCAGCGGCGGCGGCGGCUACCAUCCCAGUAAUGGUGGUGGCGGCUAUCAAGGGCGAGGCGGCGGCAGUUACUACUCCCCCAACAAUCACGGCGGCAACAACACCAGAAGAUCCUCCAACAACAACUGGCGCCCCUUCCAAGGCUAUGAUGGCUAUGAAGGCAAGUGCCAGAUUUGUAAAAAAAAAGCAACCAUAUUGCUAAAGAUUGUGAUUGGCGCUAUGUCGAUGACAACUCCCAGAAAAAGAAAAUUGCAGCUGCAGCAGAUGGAUCAUAUGGUGUUGAUACCAACUGGUAUAUGGACACGGGGGCGACAAAUCAUAUCACCGGAGAGUUGGAGAAACUAA
rnacentral:rRNA from 1 species